rnacentral:rRNA from 1 species
UACGUAGGGGGCUAGCGUUGUCCGGAAUCAUUGGGCGUAAAGCGCGUGUAGGCGGCUCGGUAAGUCUGCUGUGAAAGUCCAGGGCUCAACCCUGGGAUGCCGGUGGAUACUGUCGAGCUCGAGUCCGGAAGAGGCGAGUGGAAUUCCUGGUGUAGCGGUGAAAUGCGCAGAGUAUCAGGAGGAACACCAAUGGCGAAGGCAGCUCGCUGGGACGUGACUGACGCUGAGACGCGAAAGCGUGGGGAGCAAACAGG